UACGUAGGGAGCAAGCGUUGUCCGGAAUCAUUGGGCGUAAAGCGCGCGUAGGCGGCCCUGUAAGUCCGUUGUGAAAGUCAAAGGCUCAACCUUUGAAAGCCGAUGGAUACUGCAGGGCUAGAGUUCGGAAGAGGCGAGUGGAAUUCCUGGUGUAGCGGUGGAAUGCGCAGAUAUCAGGAGGAACACCGAUAGCGAAGGCAGCUCGCUGGGACGGUACUGACGCUGAGGCGCGAAAGCGUGGGGAGCGAACAGG
rnacentral:rRNA from 1 species